GACGAACGCUGGCGGCGUGCCUAAUACAUGCAAGUAGAACGCUGAAGGAGGAGCUUGCUUCUCUGGAUGAGUUGCGAACGGGUGAGUAACGCGUAGGUAACCUGCCUGGUAGCGGGGGAUAACUAUUGGAAACGAUAGCUAAUACCGCAUAAUAUUGACUAUUGCAUGAUAGUCAGUUGAAAGGUGCAACUGCACCACUACCAGAUGGACCUGCGUUGUAUUAGCUAGUUGGUGGGGUAACGGCUCACCAAGGCGACGAUACAUAGCCGACCUGAGAGGGUGAUCGGCCACACUGGGACUGAGACACGGCCCAGACUCCUACGGGAGGCAGCAGUAGGGAAUCUUCGGCAAUGGACGGAAGGCUGACCGAGCAACGCCGCGUGAGUGAAGAAGGUUUUCGGAUCGUAAAGCUCUGUUGUAAGAGAAGAACGAGUGUGAGAGUGGAAAGCUCACACUGUGACGGUAUCUGACCAGAAAGGGACGGCUAACUACGUG
rnacentral:rRNA from 1 species